CACGUAGGCACCAAGCGUUGUCCGGAUUUAUUGGGCGUAAAGAGCUCGUAGGCGGUUCAGUAAGUCGGGUGUGAAAACUCUGGCUCAACCCAGAGACGCCACCCGAUACUGCUGUGACUUGAGUACGGUAGGGGAGUGGGGAAUUCCUGGUGUAGCGGUGAAAUGCGCAGAUAUCAGGAGGAACACCAGUGGCGAAGGCGCCACUCUGGGCCGUAACUGACGCUGAGGAGCGAAAGCGUGGGUAGCAAACAGG
rnacentral:rRNA from 1 species